GUGAGGGGCAGGUGAGGGACCCAUGGGUGCCAUGGGACAGGUGAGGGUCCCGUGGGGCAGGUGAGGGUCCCGUGGCACAGGUGAGGGUCCCGUGGGUGCCAAGGACAGGUGAGGGGCAGGUGAGGGUCCCGUGGGGCAGGUGAGGGUCCCGUGGGUGCCGUGGGACAGGUGAGGGGCAGGUGAGGGUCCCGUGGCACAGGUGAGGGUCCCGUGGGUGCCAGGGACAGGUGAGGUGCAGGUGAGGGUCCCAUGGCACAGGUGAGGGUCCCGUGGCACAGGUGAGGGUCCCGUGGGUGCCAGGGACAGGUGAGGCACAGGUGAGGGUCCCGUGGGUGCCAGGGACAGGUGAGGUGCAGGUGAGGGUCCCGUGGGCAGGUGAGGGUCCCGUGGUGCAGGUGAGGGUCCCGUGGGUGCCAGGGACAGGUGAGGCGCAGGUGAGGGUCCUGUGGUGCAGGUGAGGGUCCCAUGGGUGCCAGGGACAGGUGAGGCACAGGUGAGGGUCCCGUGGUGCAGGUGAGGGUCCCGUGGGUGCCAGGGACAGGUGAGGCACAGGUGAGGGUCCCGUGGCACAGGUGAGGGUCCCGUGGGUGCCAGGGACAGGUGAGGCACAGGUGAGGGUCCCGUGGUGCAGGUGAGGGUCCCAUGGGUGCCAUGGGGCAGGUGAGGCACAGGUGAGGGUCCCGUGGUGCAGGUGAGGGUCCCAUGGGUGCCAGGGACAGGUGAGGCACAGGUGAGGGUCCCGUGGUGCAGGUGAGGGUCCCGUGGUGCAGGUGAGGGUCCCGUGGGUGCCAAGGACAGGUGAGGCUCCCAGGUGUCCCCUGUGUCCCAUGGGUGUGACCCUUUCCCACGUGGGUGGGGGUGGGGCAGGUGAGGGCGUGGCCCCGCCCCCCACCCACCUGUGGGCGUGUCCCUGCCCCACCCGUGGGACCCUGGGCCGGGACUUUGGGGGGGGCUCAGGGGGUUCCUCGUGGUCAUUCUUGGGGUCUCCAUGUCCCUCUGGGGUGGCCGUGGUCACUCCUGGGGGUCUGCAGGGUCUUUGGGGUGUCCCUGGCCCUUCUUGGGGUCCCAGUGGUCCUUGGGGGUCUCCGUGGUCAAUUUUGGAGUCCCCGUGGACCUUCUUGGGCUCUCUGUGGUCUUGGAGGCUCUCCAUGGCCAAGUCUGGGGUCACUCUGGUCAUUUUCGGGUCUCCAUGGUCCUGUGGGGUGGCCGUGGUCAUUCCUGGCGUCUGCAGGGUCUUUGGGGUUUCCAGGGUCCUUCUUGGGGUCACUGUGGUCAUUUUUGGGGUCUCCGUGGUCUUUGAGGGUCUCCACGGUCAUUGUUGGGGUCUCCAUGGUCCUAGCUGGGGUCUCCAUCAUCACUCUUGGGGUCUCUGUGGCUUUUGGGGGUCUCUGUGGCCAUUGUUGGUGUCCUGAUGACCAUUGUGGAGUGUCCGUGGUGGGGCAGUGUCCGUGGUGUGUCCAUGGUGUGUCCGUGGUGGGGGCAGUGUCCAGGGUGUGUCCAUGGUGUGUCCAUGGUGUGUCCAUGGUGUGUCCGUGGUGGGGCAGUGUCCAGGGUGUGUCCAUGGUGUGUCCAUGGUGUGUCCAUGGUGGGGCAGUGUGUCCAGGGUGUGUCCACGAUGCGUCCGUGUGUCCAUAGUGGGUGGGUCCACGUCCAUGGUGUGUCCGUGGUGUGUCCAUGGCGUGUCCGUGCUGGGUCAGUGUCCAUGGGUUCAUGGUGUGUCCAUGGUGUGUCCAGGAUGGGUCAGUGAUGGGUCAGUGGUGGGUCCAUGGUGUGUCCAUGGUGUGUCCAGGAUGGGUCAGUGGUGGGUCCAUGGUGUG